UGUAAACAGUUUUACAACUCCCUUUAGAUUCAAGCUAUUUUUGUGAGAAUCUUAAUGUGUCAAAACUAAAAACAGGAUGUUCGCUUUUGCGAGGCAUUUGUCUGAUUGAGUU